GCAGACAGGAAGAAAGAUGGUGAAAGGUCAACACGCCCCAGUGUGAUCCUGGGCAUCGGUGUGUGACCAUCGCAAAGUGGAUGUGGAAUGAGAUUCCCUCGGGGAAUGAAGACCCUGCCCUGCAAGGAGAGGUCAACGCUGGCAUUCGGAACACUCCCAUCCAGGCAUCAGGCUGGACCUCAGGCUCAAGAGCACUCAGUACAUGAAUGGGAAGACCCAGCAUUCUCCAGAGCCCCCUUCUGCUGGCCACCUGCUUCCUGUGCUUAGCUUCACCAGUUAACUGCCUUUCAGCUCUCUGCUGCAUUACCCUGUCUCCAGUCCUGGAGCCUGGAAGGAUGAGAGCAGGGGGUGGGUGGACGGGGAGGGGGAGGGGAAGGCGGAAGAGAAGGGGAGGGGAGGGGGAGAGGGAGAACAAAGACCUUCAGACGGAGGGUUCUCCAACCUCAGUGUGUGCUCAGUCCUCAGGUAAUUUUGGCAAAACGCAGAGUUAAAGACGCUGUGAGUGUCGCUGUGGACCUCUCUGAAUCACCGGUGCUCAAAACGUGCGGGCAGGCCAGUGGCUCUCCUCUGUCGCUUUCCCGGAUCCGGUAGAGCCAGGUGCUUCCUUUUUGCGCUCCCACAACGCUCGGACUCCUAGGAGGCAGCCCUCAAA